UACGGAGGAUGCGAGCGUUAUCCGGAUUUAUUGGGUUUAAAGGGUGCGUAGGCGGAUUGAUAAGUCAGUGGUGAAAUUCUACAGCUUAACUGUAGACUUGCCGUUGAUACUGUUAGUCUUGAGUGUGGUCAAGGCAGGCGGAAUGUGUAAUGUAGCGGUGAAAUGCUUAGAUAUUACACAGAACACCGAUUGCGAAGGCAGCUUACUAAUCCAUCAUUGACGCUGAGGCACGAAAGCGUGGGGAUCAAACAGGAUUA
rnacentral:rRNA from 1 species